rnacentral:rRNA from 1 species
GUGUCAGCAGCCGCGGUAAUACGUAGGUCCCGAACGUUGCGCGAAUUUACUGGGCGUAAAGGGUCCGUAGGCGGUCUGGUAAGUGGAAGGUGAAAUCCUGGGGCUCAACUUCAGAAUUGCCUUCCAAACUGCCGGACUUGAGGCAGGGAGAGGUCGGCGGCAUUCCCGGUGUAGCGGUGAAAUGCGUAGAUAUCGGGAGGAACACCAGUGGCGAAGGCGGCCGACUGGAACUGACCUGACGCUGAGGGACGAAAGCCAGGGAAGCGAACCGGAUUAGAUACCCGAGUAGUCCUGGCCGUAAACGAUGGAUGCUAGAUGUGGGCGGGGAGACCCGUCCGUGUCGCAAGCUAACGCGAUAAGUGGGCCGCCUGGGGAGUAUGCCCGCAAGGGUGAAACUUAAAGGAAUUGACGGGG